rnacentral:rRNA from 1 species
UACGUAGGGUCCGAGCGUUGUCCGGAAUUAUUGGGCGUAAAGGGCUCGUAGGCGGUUUGUUGCGUCGGGAGUGAAAACUUACAGCUUAACUGUGAGCGUGCUUCCGAUACGGGCAGACUUGAGGUAUUCAGGGGAGAACGGAAUUCCUGGUGUAGCGGUGAAAUGCGUAGAUAUCUGGAGGAACACCGGUGGCGAAGGCGGCAUCCUGGACCAACACUGACGCUGAGGAGCGAAAGCCAGGGGAGCAAACGGG